GUGGUGCUGGAUCAGCUGUGGGGCCCAAGAGGUAUUUUUUUAAAAAAUAAGGGGCCUCGCAGCUGGGGGCCUUGUUGGGGGUGGGGGCUGAAGCCCUUCAGCCUCAGGUCCGGGCAUCAAAAAUACCUAGGUGUGCCCCAGCUAAGAGAUAAAAUUCAGGGGCUGCAGAUGUGGAAAACUUGUUCAAAGUUUGUAAAAUCCACUUAAAUGACUCCAGAGUUAUUCUGGCUGCAAUUUGGGGUGGGGUUUCAUGGUCUACCAAGAUGUGGCUGUCCUGGGACUUUCGUUGUUCCAAAAUGGAAAUUUAACCUCAUUUGGAAUGCAGGAACCUCAGAUGACCCUUUGGAGGGAAAGCCAUGAAACAAGAGUGGCCAGAAUGCAGCAGGAAAACAUGAAUCAGCUGAAACUCUGCAUUCCAACACUAGCCUGCUCUUCGUUGAAUUAUGUGAUAUAAUGACAGACUAUUGACAUUGGUCUGAAUGGAGAGAGGAAGAUCACAAAAGGGCAUGAUCUACGCUUCAUCAUUACUGCAAUCUGAAUAGCUGCUAGAGAUGAAAAGGCUGGCAGAGUCCUUUAAUUAGACACAGAAAGUACCUUGGGAUUCCAGAAAACUGAAUCUAAUAACUGGCAUGAGAGAAGUAUACGAAGGGUUCCAAGGCUGGAGAAAACUAAUGAAGAAAGGAACACAAGAUGAUUGGGUGUUUCUGAAGGUGUUAGACAGUCCAUGGAACAUCUUCAUUUCCUCCCUCAGGCCUGUGAAACUCGAGGCUCAUCCCCACUGCAAAAGCCCCAGGGUGCCCACAAUGGCAACAAGUUCUAGCACAAGGAAUGCCUGAUGUCUCUAGGACCUGUUUAUAAGAGAUGCUAUGAAAUCAUCCAGAACAUAGUGGACCUCCCAUGUAUAGAGAAGAGACCAUUAAGUGCGUUCACACUAGCUUCUCAAACCCUCUGAAACCCUCAUCAGAUCAACAAGGGAAUUUUCAGCA